UGUUUCUAAAGGUGUAUAUUUCUUAUUUUAAAAACCACUCUAUUAUUUAUAUUUGCGGGUGGUUUAACUAUGUCUAGAUUACAUUUUGUAAGCCAACUUUAAAAUUAUUGUCUCUGUUUUUCAUAAUUUUCUAUAAGACGAAAUGUAAAAGCUAAAAAUUGCAUAUAGCAGCAGAAAGAGGAACUUUAAAGGCAUACGGACCCUAGAACGCGGACCAAACAAACGCAUAUCAGAAUGUCUAGAGCAUAUAGGAAGGGUUUGGUAACAAACAUUGAACGAGGGGUUCAAAGGACAACAGAUGUGGGGCCAAUUAAAUGCAACUUGACACUGAAUCAUUGAAUAAAGGGGAUGCCCAACUUAUUCCAGUGUGAGAGCGCCUCAAAAUAAGCGUGCCAGUGGCCACAUCGAACAAAAUAAGAAUUUUUGGGCAUUUAAAUUAAAACACCCAACAUUUAUUACCAUUGCAAAUUGUUAUAUACUGGACUUUUAAUACAUGACGAAACUACUUAAAUCCUUUUUUAUGAUUUUAUGAUAUAUUAAAACAAGUGACUUUUGAUAUUUCACUACUCAAUAAGGUGAAUUAAGCCUGUUAGUUCUUAAUUAAUAAAUGUUUUUAAUCAUUUGUAAUUGAAAAUUAAUUAUUUUAUGCAUCACAUUGCAAAACGUUACAUGAAAUAUAUUUAAAUUUCGAA